GGCCAUAUCACAUUGAAACACCUGUUCUCAUACAAUCACUGAAGUUAAGCAACAUCAAGCAUGCUCAGUACCUAGAUGAGUGAUCACUUGGGAAUACCAAGUACUGCAAG